UGAUAGAGGAAAAUACCAACAUUUUGUUUGCAACACAAAAAUACCUAUCAA
rnacentral:tRNA from 1 species